rnacentral:sRNA from 1 species
AUCAUAGGAACUCAGUCCAAGAACAUCGCCACCUGCGAUAACGACUGAGUGACCGACAUCGUGUCCU